AUUUUUGUUACCUUACAAUCCACCCUCGCAAACAUGCACUAAAUUAUAGACAAUAUAAUACUUGUAACUUUUGUCUUUAACAGAAGCCCCACAUACAAAGCAGCAAUUAUUGAGAUAAACCCUAGUAAUUAUGUGUUUAUGUUAAACUUGUUGACUGACAUUAAUCAGAACAUCAUAAUCAAAUCUGCAACCAUUUUAAAAAUUGAGAAGUUA
rnacentral:misc_RNA from 1 species